UAGGGAAUCUUCGGCAAUGGACGAAAGUCUGACCGAGCAACGCCGCGUGAGUGAAGAAGGUUUUCGGAUCGUAAAACUCUGUUGGUAGAGAAGAACGUUGGUGAGAGUGGAAAGCUCAUCAAGUGACGGUAACUACCCAGAAAGGGACAGCUAACUACGUGCCAG
rnacentral:rRNA from 1 species